AUUGAACGCUGGCGGCAGGCCUAACACAUGCAAGUCGAGCGGGGUUUUCGGACCUAGCGGCGGACGGGUGAGUAAUGCGUAGGAAGCUGCCCGAUAGAGGGGGAUACCAGUUGGAAACGACUGUUAAUACCGCAUAAUGUCUACGGACCAAAGUGUGGGACCUUCGGGCCACAUGCUAUCGGAUGCGCCUACGUGGGAUUAGCUAGUUGGUGAGGUAAUGGCUCACCAAGGCGACGAUCUCUAGCUGGUUUGAGAGGAUGAUCAGCCACACUGGAACUGAGACACGGUCCAGACUCCUACGGGAGGCAGCAGUGGGGAAUAUUGGACAAUGGGCGCAAGCCUGAUCCAGCCAUGCCGCGUGUGUGAAGAAGGCCUUCGGGUUGUAAAGCACUUUCAGCGAGGAGGAAGGGGUGUGUGUUAGUAGUACACACCUUUGACGUUACUCGCAGAAGAAGCACCGGCUAACUCUGUGCCAGCCGCCGCAGUAAGAC
rnacentral:rRNA from 1 species